AGCCUACGCAGCAGAGUCAGGGGACCCUUUGCACUUGACUCAGUUUGUACCCACAGGGAGCUGUGUCCCAGCUCUGUGGCCCCAGUCUCCCUCUGGGACCCCCUGAACACUCCACCUUCCACAAGGGGACUGUCCCUUCCCGCAUUGCCAGAAUUCCCUGGUCACAAGCAUAGCAUUUACGUCCAGUUGGUCUUCCAGUCCCCUCCCUUGGCCAGAUGGUUCCUCCUUGGCUGCCAGAGAGAAUCUGGUUGUCCUUCAGGAUUCAGCCCUUGCAGCACCCCUAGGAGCCUUCCCUGACCCCACCGCAGGCGGGCCAGGUCCCUUCCUGUUUGCUAUUCUGAAUAGUGGCCUUCACGUCACACUGAGGGGAGUCAUCCCUUGUUCCUUUCACUAACAUCCCUCCUACCCUCUUCUCACUGGGAGUCGGGCCUGCUGCUGAGCACAAAAGAUCAUGUCCACGUGACCCACCUGUGUUUCUGGGAGCAGACAAGCCCAGGACCAGGGGUGACCUGGCUUCCUGGAGGGCUGGUGCAUUCCAGAGGACUUAAGUGGGACAGAGAAGUGCGGAGCCUGGGGGCUGCUCUCACCUCUGCCCUGGCAGGAAAGUGGCCUUUCCUUCGCACUGGGAACCAUGAGUCAUGGACAUUGAUGGGGCAGGAUUGGAACAAGGAGGGAGACAGAGCCAACACAAGGUCUGUGCUUAGCUUCUAGACGGCCAUCUUAAGUGACAGCCGCCAUUUUAAGGAAAAAGUUUGGCUUUCCUGCCCAAGGGCCUUGCUGAGAAAGGCUCACCACUCCCUCAUAACAACCCAACUCUUAGCCACCUGCAUUAGGACCCACCUGGCUCUGAUUCCUGAGUCUCCCCAUAAAAGUCCCAGAACCCAAGUCUGUCCUGCCUCUCUCUCCCACAGAGAGAGGGCCUUUAUUUGUCAGCUCUGACAGAUAAACUCUCUAGUGUAUCUCUGCCUGGUCUCCGUUUUUCGUUUCUCACUCGCUGGUCUCUGGUUCCUCGCUUUCCCUUCAGCCAAGGCACUUUGGUCUCACUUCCUGUGAGUCGGUGUGAAAUGGGCCACAGGAGCUGCCGACCUCAGCUCUCAGGGACACCCCACCCAGUGAGACCAGCUCCAUAGACAAGUACCUUGAAGCUGGGUUUGUGGGCAAGACAAAAGCUCAGAUGUUUCUGGUCCCUCAUGUCAUGUCACAGUCUAGUCUGUGUCUUCAUCAGAUGGCGGAGCCCUAAAGACAUAGAUGAGCAGGGUCAUCAGAUAACCUGAUCUUCAAG
rnacentral:lncRNA from 1 species